rnacentral:rRNA from 1 species
GAUGAACGCUGGCGGCGUGCUUAACACAUGCAAGUCGAACGGGAAACUUUUCAUUGAAGCUUCGGCAGAUUUGGUCUGUUUCUAGUGGCGGACGGGUGAGUAACGCGUGGGUAACCUGCCUUAUACAGGGGGAUAACAACCAGAAAUGGUUGCUAAUACCGCAUAAGCGCACAGGACCGCAUGGUCCGGUGUGAAAAACUCCGGUGGUAUAAGAUGGACCCGCGUUGGAUUAGCUAGUUGGCAGGGUAACGGCCUACCAAGGCGACGAUCCAUAGCCGGCCUGAGAGGGUGAACGGCCACAUUGGGACUGAGACACGGCCCAGACUCCUACGGGAGGCAGCAGUGGGGAAUAUUGCACAAUGGGGGAAACCCUGAUGCAGCGACGCCGCGUGAAGGAAGAAGUAUCUCGGUAUGUAAACUUCUAUCAGCAGGGAAGAUAGUGACGGUACCUGACGAAGAAGCCCCGGCUAACUACGUG